rnacentral:rRNA from 1 species
UACGAAGGGGGCUAGCGUUGUUCGGAAUUACUGGGCGUAAAGCGUGCGUAGGCGGUAGCGUAAGUCGGGUGUGAAAGCCCCGGGCUCAACCUGGGAAUUGCAUUCGAGACUGCUCUGCUAGGGUGCGGAAGAGGGAAGCGGAAUUUCCGGUGUAGCGGUGAAAUGCGUAGAUAUCGGAAGGAACACCAGUGGCGAAAGCGGCUUCCUGGUCCAGCACCGACGUUCAGGCACGAAAGCGUGGGGAGCAAACAGG